rnacentral:rRNA from 1 species
AUUGAACGCUGGCGGCAUGCCUUACACAUGCAAGUCGAACGGCAGCACGGGGGCAACCCUGGUGGCGAGUGGCGAACGGGUGAGUAAUACAUCGGAACGUGCCCAGUAGUGGGGGAUAGCCCGGCGAAAGCCGGAUUAAUACCGCAUACGACCUAUGGGUGAAAGCGGGGGAUCGCAAGACCUCGCGCUACCGGAGCGGCCGAUGUCAGAUUAGGUUGUUGGUGGGGUAAAAGCCACCAAGCCGACGAUCUGUAGCUGGUCUGAGAGGACGACCAGCCACACUGGGACUGAGACACGGCCCAGACUCCUACGGGAGGCAGCAGUGGGGAAUUUUGGACAAUGGGCGCAAGCCUGAUCCAGCCAUGCCGCGUGCGGGAA